rnacentral:tRNA from 1 species
GGGCCAGUAGCUCAGCUUGGACAGAGCGACAGCCUUCUAAGCUGUAGGUCGUGGGUUCGAAUCCCCCCUGGCCCG